rnacentral:tRNA from 1 species
GGCUGUAGCUCAGUGGUAGAGCACCUGCCACGUACACGUGAGGCACUGAGUUCGAUCUUCAGCACCA